UACGUAGGCAGCAAGCGUUGUUCGGAGUUACUGGGCGUAAAGGGUGCGUAGGCGGCUUUUUUAAGUUUGGUGUGAAAUCUCCCGGCUCAACUGGGAGGGUGCGCCGAAUACUGAGAGGCUAGAGUGUGGGGAAGAGGAAAGUGGAAUUCCUGGUGUAGCGGUGAAAUGCGUAGAUAUCAGGAGGAACACCGGUGGUGUAAACGGCUUCUGGACCAUAACUGACGCUGAUGCACGAAAGCGUGGGUAGCAAACAGG
rnacentral:rRNA from 1 species